UACGUAGGGUGCGAGCGUUAAUCGGAAUACUGGGCGUAAAGCGUGCGCAGGCGGCUUCGCAAGUCAGGCGUGAAAUCCCCGGGCUUAACCUGGGAACUGGCGUCUGAAACUACGGAGCUGGAGUGUGGCAGAGGGAGGUAGAAUUCCACGUUGUAGCGGUGAAAUGCGUAGAUAUUGGGAAGAACACCGGUGGCGAAGGCGGCUCUCUGGACCGAGACUGACGCUAGGCGCGAAAG
rnacentral:rRNA from 1 species